rnacentral:rRNA from 1 species
AUUGAACGCUUGCGGCAGGCCUAACACAUGCAAGUCGAACGGUAGCACAGAGGAGCUUGCUCCUCGGGUGACGAGUGGCGGACGGGUGAGUAAUGUCUGGGAAACUGCCUGAUGGAGGGGGAUAACUACUGGAAACGGUAGCUAAUACCGCAUAACGUCGCAAGACCAAAGAGGGGGACCUUCGGGCCUCUUGCCAUCAGAUGUGCCCAGAUGGGAUUAGCUAGUAGGUGGGGUAAUGGCUCACCUAGGCGACGAUCCCUAGCUGGUCUGAGAGGAUGACCAGCCACACUGGAACUGAGACACGGUCCAGACUCCUACGGGAGGCAGCAGUGGGGAAUAUUGCACAAUGGGCGCAAGCCUGAUGCAGCCAUGCCGCGUGUAUGAAGAAGGCCUUCGGGUUGUAAAGUACUUUCAGCGGGGAGGAAGGCGUUGCGGUUAAUAACCGCAGCGAUUGACGUUACCCGCAGAAGAAGCACCGGCUAACUCCGUGCCAGCAGCCGCGGUAAUACGGAGGGUGCAAGCGUUAAUCGGAAUUACUGGGCGUAAAGCGCACGCAGGCGGUCUGUCAAGUCGGAUGUGAAAUCCCCGGGCUCAACCUGGGAACUGCAUUCGAAACUGGCAGGCUUGAGUCUUGUAGAGGGGGGUAGAAUUCCAGGUGUAGCGGUGAAAUGCGUAGAGAUCUGGAGGAAUACCGGUGGCGAAGGCGGCCCCCUGGACAAAGACUGACGCUCAGGUGCGAAAGCGUGGGGAGCAAACAGGAUUAGAUACCCUGGUAGUCCACGCUGUAAACGAUGUCGACUUGGAGGUUGUGCCCUUGAGGCGUGGCUUCCGGAGCUAACGCGUUAAGUCGACCGCCUGGGGAGUACGGCCGCAAGGUUAAAACUCAAAUGAAUUGACGGGGGCCCGCACAAGCGGUGGAGCAUGUGGUUUAAUUCGAUGCAACGCGAAGAACCUUACCUACUCUUGACAUCCACGGAACUUGCCAGAGAUGGCUUGGUGCCUUCGGGAACCGUGAGACAGGUGCUGCAUGGCUGUCGUCAGCUCGUGUUGUGAAAUGUUGGGUUAAGUCCCGCAACGAGCGCAACCCUUAUCCUUUGUUGCCAGCGGUUAGGCCGGGAACUCAAAGGAGACUGCCAGUGAUAAACUGGAGGAAGGUGAGGAUGACGUCAAGUCAUCAUGGCCCUUACGAGUAGGGCUACACACGUGCUACAAUGGCGCAUACAAAGAGAAGCGAACUCGCGAGAGCAAGCGGACCUCAUAAAGUGCGUCGUAGUCCGGAUCGGAGUCUGCAACUCGACUCCGUGAAGUCGGAAUCGCUAGUAAUCGUGGAUCAGAAUGCCACGGUGAAUACGUUCCCGGGCCU